rnacentral:lncRNA from 1 species
GGAGAGUGGAGAAGCCAGCAGAUAACUGAUGGAGCCACCUGUGUCUGCCCAGACACCUGUCUAGGCUGGACACCAUCCCUGGAUAGAACAAACUGCUUUUCCAUCCUUUCCACCCCAGUCCAGCAUAUCUGUGUACCAACUUAUAUAAGCUACCUGUGCAGCCACCAAGCGCCUGUUCAUUCAUUCACUCAUCCGUUUGUUCAAAUAAUCCAAGGAGAAAGAGAGCACACCCGGGUGAACAGCAGGCAGAGACGGAGAAACAGGCUCCCCGUUGAGCAAGGAGUCCUGAUAUGA